AUGCUGUACACAACAUUGCUAAUGAGGACAGUGUACAAGCCAUCGCUAAUGAGGACACUGUAUAUGACAUCGCUAAUGAGGACACUGUACAAGGCAUUGCUAACGAGGACGCUGUACACAACAUCGCUAAUGAGGACACCAUAUAAGACAUCACCAAUGAGGAUGCUGUAUAUGACAUCGCUAAUGACACCGACAAGGCAUGCUAACGAGGACGCUGUAGAUGACAUUGCUUAUAAGGACACCGUACAAGACAUCGCUAACCAGGACACUGUAUACGACAUCGCUAAUGAGGACGUUGUAUAUGACAUCGCUAAUGAGGAUGCUUUACAAGACAUAGCUAAUGAGGUUGCUGUAUAUGACAUCGCUAAUGAGGACAUUGUAUAUGACAUCGCUAAUGAGGACGUUGUAUAUGACAUCGCUAAUGAGGAUGCUUUACAAGACAUAGCUAAUGAGGUUGCUGUAUAUGACAUCGCUAAUGAGGACAUUGUGUAUGACAUCGCUAAUGAGGACGUUGUAUAUGACAUCGCUAAUGAGGAUGCUUUACAAGACAUAGCUAAUGAGGUUGCUGUAUAUGACAUCGCUAAUGAGGACAUUGUAUAUGACAUCGCUAAUGAGGACGCUCUAUACGACAUCACCAAUGAGGACGCUGUAUACAACCUCGCUAAUGAGGACGCUGUAUAUGGCAUCGCUAAUGAGGAUGCUGUAUACGAAUUCGCUAAUAAGGACGCUGUAUAUGACAUUGCUAAUGAGGACACUGUACAAGACAUCUGUAAAAAAGAAGAUGCUGCCAAUGAGCCAUUGACACUGGAGAAUGAUACGUACCCUGAAAUAACUCACUUCCUGAGGAAAAAACGCCAUCUCUAGGGUACAGAAACCUGAUUCUGGGAUCCUUUUGGGAAGGAGGAUUUGGGGUCUGGUGAGAGCAAAUGAUUUUGCAAGUAUAAAACAACGUCCAGAGAGGCUGUAGGGAUAUCUGUGAGCCCAGAGGAAACACCAGGGGAUCCUGUGCGAAGCGCCAUGGCUUCAGCUAGGGUGGGAGGAGUGGGUGGGCCUCUCUCUAAUGACUUAUCCUGGUGUUUGUGUUUCUAAAGAUUUGAUUGUGGAGAGCAUAUCUGAUGAUGGGGAUUUGUAGGUAGGUAACUACUUUCCACGUAAGAUCCAAUUGGAGAGAGUUCCCAGGGGCCUUCGGGGUAUCCAUGCUGCUUGGGAGGUUAAGGGAGGGGGCAUGAAAUCAAAACGAAACAGGAAAUAUGUGUCAUAUUGGAUUUGGUCUUUUCUGGGUUUAUUGGCAUAAUAGUUAGAACUGUCUCUCUGGGCUAUGAGGGUGCUGUGUUAUUUAAAGGUGGUCUUUCCCAGAACACCUGGCCUUUUCUUUUCUGCCUCUGCCAAACAUCACAGCCUUUGGGUUGGAUUAGUCAGCACCCCUUGGGAUUGUGCAGAAGAGGUUUGGGGUUGCAUCGAGUGUCACAUGUGGUGAACAAAAUCUGAGGGACACAACUCUCUCACAGGCACUUCCUUCAACCUGGAGACAGAGUUCUCCUGGUGUGUGCCCAGGGGUGGAGGAGAAAUUGACAGUCUGCCUCUGAACUUUCAGGACUUUAAAAAGCACUCAUGUUUCCAUCCUCACUGUUGCCUCCUGGCUUAAAGGGAUCUCCCGGGGUGAGUGAGGAGGCGGGAUCGGACCCUGGCAGUCUGACGGCAGCACCUGUGUUCCUCUGCACUGGGCCGUGGAUGACAUUACACACCUUGCCACUCUCACGGUCCUGUGUGUUCCGGAUAUUUUAAAAUAAUGGCUAUAAGGUUGAGCACUUCAGGAUAUGCUGUUUUGCUGUGUGCAGAUGGAGGCAGUGGCUGGAGUGAAUGAACGGCAACACUUGCUGGCAACCGGCAGAAGCUGAGAGACAGGGAACAGGCUCUCCUCCAGAGCCUCCAGGAGCCAGGCCUUUGGACACCUUGAAUGUGGGCUUCUGGGAGACCAUGCGUUUCUGUUAUAAGCAGCCCAGUCUCUGGCAGUUUUUACGGCUGCCCCCGAACACUCAUCUACACCUGUCUGACAAGGUCAAGCUCCAAGGAAGGGAUUCUCUACAUAUCUACAUUGUUUGCAGAUUUUACAAUAAUCAUUUAUUCUUGCAUGGCUGAUCAUUGUUAACCAAUACAAAUAAAAUAAUAAAUGACCCACAUUUUA